AAAAUAAAAAUUAAUAAAAAUAAAUUUAAUAAAAGUAAUUUUAAUAUUAAAAUAAAUAAUGGGGGUUAAAGUAUUUUAAUAGAAAAAAUUAUGAAUUUUAUAGUGAAUUAGUAUAGUAGUAGAAAUUUGAAAUAAAUGAAAAAUAAUUUUUAAAAAAGUAAAUUUAAAUUAUUGUAUCUUGUGUAUCAGAGUUUAUUAAAUAAUGUUUUUAUAUAAAAAUAUCUCGAAUUUAAAAGAGUUAAUUAAUUAAUAAAGUUAAUGUAAAAUAAUUAUUUUAAAUAAUUAAUUUGAAAUGAAAUGUUAAUCGUUUUUAAAUAUAUCUAGUUAUUUUAGAAAAAAAUUUAAUUUUAAAUUUAUUUAUUCAUCAUAUUAACUAAAUUAAUAUAAUAAAAAAUAAAUUUUAUAAUUUAAGGGAUAAGCUUUAAAUUAAAUUAUUAUAAUAAAUAAUUAAAAUAAAUAAAAUUUUUAAGAUUUAUAUUGUUUAAAAAUUAAAGUUUAUUAUAAAAAAUUUUAUUAAAAAUAAAAUUUAAAUUAAUUUAAUUUUUUAUAAAAAUAUAAUUUUUAAUAUAAAAAGAUUAGUAAUAAUGAUAAAAUUAGUAUAAUAAAAUAAAAAAAAAUAAAUUUAUUUAAAAUUAAAUAAAAGGAAUUCGGCAAAAUUUAUAUUCACCUGUUUAACAAAAACAUGUCUUUUUGAAAAAUAAUUUAAAGUCUAAUCUGCCCACUGAUUUUAUAUUAAAGGGCUGCAGUAUAUUGACUGUACAAAGGUAGCAUAAUCAUUAGUCUUUUAAUUGAAGACUUGUAUGAAGGAUUUGAUGAAAUAUGAACUGUCUCUUAUUUAUAAAUAGAAUUUAAUUUUUUAGUUAAAAAGCUAAAAUUUAAUUAAAAGACGAGAAGACCCUAUAGAGUUUUAUAAUUAUUUAUUUAAAAUAUUUAUAUAAAAUUUUAAUAUUUUAUUUGAAUAAUUAUUAUAUUGGGGUGAUAAAAAAAUUAAUUAAACUUUUUUUAAAAUUUAACAAAAAUAAAUGAAUAAAUGAUCCAUAAAUAAUGAUUAAAAGAAAAAAUUACCUUAGGGAUAACAGCGUAAUAUUUUUUUUUAGUACAAAUAAAAAAAAAAGUUUGCGACCUCGAUGUUGGAUUAAGAUAAAAUUUAAAUGCAAAAGUUUAAAAUUUUGAUCUGUUCGAUCAUUAAAAUCUUACAUGAUCUGAGUUCAAACCGGUGUAAGCCAGGUUGGUUUCUAUCUUUAAUAAAAUAGGAUAUUUUA
rnacentral:rRNA from 1 species